rnacentral:tRNA from 1 species
GGAUUGUGGCUCAGUGGUAGAGUAUUUGCCUAGCAUGUGUAAGGCACUAGGUUCAAUCCCUGGAGCCA